rnacentral:rRNA from 1 species
AGAGUUUGAUUCUGGCUCAGGAUGAACGCUGGCGGCGUGCCUAACACAUGCAAGUCGAGCGAGAAAUUUAUGACGGAUUCUUCGGAUGACGGAGUAAAUGGAAAGCGGCGGACGGGUGAGUAACGCGUAGGUAACCUGCCCCAUACAGAGGGAUAGCCACUGGAAACGGUGAUUAAUACCUCAUAACACUUUUCUGCUGCAUGGCAGGGAGGUCAAAGAUUAAUCGGUAUGGGAUGGACCUGCGUCUGAUUAGCUGGUUGGUGGGGUAACGGCCUACCAAGGCGACGAUCAGUAGCCGACCUGAGAGGGUGAUCGGCCACAUUGGAACUGAGACACGGUCCAAACUCCUACGGGAGGCAGCAGUGGGGAAUAUUGCACAAUGGGCGAAAGCCUGAUGCAGCAACGCCGCGUGAAUGAAGAAGGCCUUUGGGUCGUAAAAUUCUGUUCUGAGGGAAGAAGAAAGUGACGGUACCUCAGGAGAAAGCCCCGGCUAACUACGUGCCAGCAGCCGCGGUAAUACGUAGGGGGCGAGCGUUGUCCGGAAUUAUUGGGCGUAAAGAGUACGUAGGCGGUUUAUUAAGCGCAAGGUGAAAGGCAGUGGCUUAACCAUUGUAAGCCUUGCGAACUGGUAGACUUGAGUGCAGGAGAGGAAAGCGGAAUUCCUAGUGUAGCGGUGAAAUGCGUAGAUAUUAGGAGGAACACCGGUGGCGAAGGCGGCUUUCUGGACUGUAACUGACGCUGAGGUACGAAAGCGUGGGGAGCAAACAGGAUUAGAUACCCUGGUAGUCCACGCCGUAAACG